ACGUAGGGGGCGAGCGUUGUCCGGAAUUACUGGGCGUAAAGGGUGCGUAGGCGGUUGCCUAAGUCAGAUGUGAAAUCCCCGGGCUUAACUCGGGUGGUGCAUUUGAAACUGGGUUACUAGAGUGCAGGAGAGGGAAGCGGAAUUCCUAGUGUAGCGGUGAAAUGCGUAGAUAUUAGGAGGAACACCAGUGGCGAAGGCGGCUUUCUGGACUGUAACUGACGCUGAGGCACGAAAGCGUGGGGAGCAAACA
rnacentral:rRNA from 1 species